UGAUACAUUUACCUCUGACAAAAACUUUGUGGUAGUCCUUGCUCAGUGGGUUAUCACAUUCUUCAGGUAUGUUCACAAAAAAUUCUUUCACCAGCAGCUCAUAGCAGGGACUGAAAUCACAGACUGUCUUCAUCAGACCAGCUUCCUUGAUGUAGUCAAAGAUGUCUUGACAUUUCAGAGCAUCUUUGGUCAAUUCUCUUUCAACAGCCAAUCUCCUUUGGU
rnacentral:lncRNA from 1 species